CUAAGAAAGAAAGUCGAGCGAAUCUGAGGGAGCUUGCUCCCAAAGAUUAGCUUUCGACGGGUGAGUAACACGUGGGCAACCUGCCUGUAAGACUGGGAUAACUUCGGGAAACCGGAGCUAAUACCGGAUAAUUCUUACCAACUCAUGUUGGUAAGCUAAAAGACGGCGUAAGCUGUCACUUACAGAUGGGCCCGCGGCGCAUUAGCUAGUUGGUGAGGUAACGGCUCACCAAGGCAACGAUGCGUAGCCGACCUGAGAGGGUGAUCGGCCACACUGGGACUGAGACACGGCCCAG
rnacentral:misc_RNA from 1 species